rnacentral:rRNA from 1 species
UACGGAGGAUGCGAGCGUUAUCCGGAUUUAUUGGGUUUAAAGGGUGCGUAGGCGGGAUGCCAAGUCAGCGGUAAAAAUGCGGUGCUCAACGCCGUCGAGCCGUUGAAGCUGGCGUUCUUGAGUGGGCGAGAAGUAUGCGGAAUGCGUGGUGUAGCGGUGAAAUGCAUAGAUAUCACGCAGAACUCCAAUUGCGAAGGCAGCAUACCGGCGCCCUACUGACGCUGAGGCACGAAAGCGUGGGUAUCGAACAGG